UCAGUCGGCCGGACGGCCGCUCCGGCACCGGCCGAAAGGCCGCCGGGGAGGAAAGUCCGGGCUCCAUCGACAUACGGUGCCGGAUAACAUCCGGCGGGGGCGACCCCAGGGAAAGUGCCACAGAGAACGAACCGCCUGCCUUCGCCCUUUGGGCUUCGGCAGGUAAGGGUGAAAAGGUGCGGUAAGAGCGCACCGCGUCGCCGGCAACGGCAACGGCAUGGCAAACCACACCGGGAGCAAAACCGAAUAGGGACGGCGCAGCGGCUGGUUCGCGCAAGCGAUAACACCGCGAGAUCGUGUCGGAUCUGCCGUCCGGGUAGGUUGCUUGAGGCAAUGUGCAAACAUUGUCCCAGACGAAUGGCCGUCACGCAUCGUCCGUGCAAACGGACAGUGCCCUACAGAACCCGGCUUACAGGC
rnacentral:RNase_P_RNA from 1 species